UGGGGGAUAUUGCACAAUGGGCGAAAGCCUGAUGCAGCGACGCCGCGUGGGGGAAGAAGGCCUUCGGGUUGUAAACUUCUUUUGCUCUGAACAAGGCAUGCUAAUGGGUGUGUUGAGUGUAGGGGUUGAUUAGCGCCGGCUAACUACGUGCCAGCAGCCGCGGUAAUACGUGGGGCGCGAGCGUUGUCCGGAAUUAUUGGGCGUAAAGGGCUUGUAGGUGGCUGGUUGCGUCUGUCGUGAAAGCUCAUGGCUUAACUGUGGGUUUGCGGUGGGUACGGGCUGGCUUGAGUGCAGUAGGGGAGGCUGGAAUUCCUGGUGUAGCGGUGGAAUGCGCAGAUAUCAGGAGGAAUACCGGUGGCGAAGGCGGGUCUCUGGGCUGUUACUGACACUGAGGAGCGAAAGCAUGGGGAGCGAACAGG
rnacentral:rRNA from 1 species